CCUUACACGCUGGCUUCUCACUACCAACGGGGGAAGGUCUGAACGGCGUGCACCAGCUUGCCCCGUGGUUUCCAGGCGGGUCUACCCCACCGUUCUGUACAGAACUUGUUUGGGUGACUUGUGCUCCUCUGCCCAGAGCCGCACACACACACAGUCGUGGGGGGCCCAGUUGGCCUGGGCUCCGAAUCCGGCCUCGGGAUCAGAACUGGCCCGUCUGUUCCUGACGCCAAGAGGGAUUGCCUCACCUCCUUGAGCCGGACCAGGCUGGGCCCCUGGAAUGCAGCCGGGAAGGAAGAGAAAUUUGCAGGCGCCCAGGCUCCUAAAACUGUGAGAUAAGAUAAGAGAAACAAAAAAACCCAGCUCGCUCAGGACCGCACUUAGGCGAACUUAAGGACUAAGCACAGAUCAGGCACAGGCAGCAUCUAUGGCCCUGGAGGGAACACGUGGUUGGGAGCCUCACCUGAGGGGAGGGCGCUCCACCCAGGACCCUCGGUGGGGACCCCAGCCCACUGCGGGCUUCCCCAGCCGGGAGGCUGGAUGUCGUGAGCACCUGAUCUGAGAAGCAAGCCUUCAAGUGCCAGAGAGAAGCAGGAGGAUGCAGCAAUCACGCCUCACUGCUUAGUUCACGCUCCGGAACUUGGCACGGACAAUUCUGGAAACUGGUUAUAACCUCCGGUUCUCUCCCAUCUUCUUCCCCACCAUCCAUGACACUUUGCUCCAGCCCAACUCGGUGAUUUCCCCAGGCCCUAGGAGCUUUCAUUUCUGCACCUUCCCUGAGUCUCCCUCCCCCGCACUCCCACCAGCCGCACUGCCUCACUUCCCCCCUGCCUCCUCUGGUGCCUCCCGCCUCCCCCCUGCCUGUGCUCCCUCUGCCCCAGCAUCGCGUCUACAGCCCCAGGCUGUCGCUGUUAAUGCCCACGCCCUCUCGCCCUGCCUCAGUGAGCACACCAUGGGGACCCAGGAUGAGUGUGACAGACCACCACCCUGCCGGGCCCGGGGCUCAUCGCCAUCCGGGAAACAUCUCAUCGCUCACAGACUGACUUCCAGGAGCCACUCGAUCUGCCCCGCUGGCUCCCCCUCCGGCACCUGCAGGCUGACAGAGGUUCGCGAGAGCAGACGCGGGGAGUCCAGCGCCCCUGUCUGCACAUCUUGAAAAGGGACGGACACAGAACACGGGCCUCUGCUGCGGCCACGGGUGACCAGAUGUCUCCUCUUGCGUCUCAGACAACAGACGACGGUUUGCCGGGACCCGGCCGUGUUCACUCCACGCAGGGAAGGUAGGACCCCACCGUCCCCCAGCGUCCAACGUCACGGCUGGGACGGCUGACACCUUCUUGGCCGGGCCACCUCUGCACGGGACUCGCUGCCCCCAGAAGCUUUCAGAAUUUCUGUCUUACGCCACCGACCUUCGCAGGGGCCCUGGCGCCCUCGCGCUCGGGCCCUCCAGCCUCCGGAUUUUCUUCUGUCACUUCUUUGAUAACUUCUUCUGUUUUCUCUUUCUGAGCCCCUGAGUUUCAUCGAAGCCAACAUCGACACUUCCGAUGCUCACGGGUGGUUUUUAAGAGGAUUUCUGAGCAAAGAGGGAAGACAGACGUCUGCACUCUGCCCCCCUAAAAAUGGGAACUGAGGUAAUAUCGACUUUCUCGCGCGGAUCAGAGCUCCGACGGACAGCCCUCACACGGAGACAUGGGAGGGUGAGGCCUGCUUCUUAAUCGUGGGCCUCGUGGGACACUUUCGAACUGGGCCCCUUGGGAGCGCUGGUGAUGAAAAGAACCUCGUGCAUUCUCAGGGGAAGGAGGGGAGCUCCGUGGAGAGCAAAGCGGCACAGAACCAAGUCCCGGGAAGCCCGGCGUGCCGGGGAAAGGGGGCCCCGGGGGACGUGUGGACAUUGAGAACACAGAAUCCACGGACAGGACUGCCGCGGCCUGGUCAGAACGAGGGUUGUGUCAAACUCUGUCCUGACAUCGUGCCAACGUUUUGCACCUGGUUUUGGCCACGAUCGAAGGCAAACUUGCUAUAACUAACGAGCACAUGUAUUUUUAAGCCACCAAAAGCCAAAGGCCUUCGGUUACGCAACACCCGGACCACUCCUCCUCUAAGACACACUCUGUCCUGCAGGCACGGUCUCCCCUCCCCACAGACGAGCGGGAAGGGACAGUCCUGCCACACGAAUCAUGAUGUAAGGACGGCUGACUCACAGAGGGUUUGCCUCCAGCGACAUCAAGGGCAUCCAUGCCGGUGCCCUGAACCUGCACGACAUCCGUGCUCGCGGCCGUAACUGGGGACACGGGUCAUGCUGCGGGUCGAGAACAAGCCAGACGGAGCCAGGAAGACGUGGCACAAAUGAGGCAGAGAUCGACAUCAUCCCAGAGAGACCCAAGUCUCAGCCUUACGCAAGUUCACGGAAAUCUGACCCUGCAGGCCCAGGGAGGCGCAGGGGAGGGUCCACAGCGGGGUUCCUUUGGGCUUUAUCAGGGUGAGGGGCCCCAGCAGGGCCCCCGCCGUGACCCCAGCCGCCCCCACUGUGCUUCUGCAGGGCUGCUCCACGGCCAGCUGCCGGCCUCGGCGACCCCUUCUCGUUGCCCGUCCUGGAAACUCUUCCCUCUGUCUGUCAAACUC